GUCCACGCCGUAAACGAUGUCUACUAGCUGUUCGUGGUCUUGUACUGUGAGUAGCGCAGCUAACGCACUAAGUAGACCGCCUGGGGAGUACGGUCGCAAGAUUAAAACUCAAAUGAAUUGACGGGGGCCCGCACAAGCGGUGGAGCAUGUGGUUUAAUUCGACGCAACGCGAAGAACCUUACCUACUCUUGACAUCUAACGGAAGUUUGCAGAGAUGCAGAUGUGCCUUCGGGAACCGUAAGACAGGUGCUGCAUGGCUGUCGU
rnacentral:rRNA from 1 species